rnacentral:rRNA from 1 species
GGGAUGGACCUGCGGUGCAUUAGCUAGUUGGUAGGUAGCGGGCCUACCAAGGCGAUGAUGCAUAGCCCCGAGUUGAGAGACUGAUCGGGUCACAUUGGGGACUGAGACACGGGCCCAAAACUCCUACGGGGAGGCAGCAGUAGGGAAUCUUCCACAAUGGACGCAAGUCUGAUGGAGCAACGCCGCGUGAGUGAAGAAGGGUUUCGGCUCGUAAAAGCUCUGUUGUUGGUGAAGAAGGACAGGGGUAGUAACUGACCUUUGUUUGACGGUAAUCAAUUAGAAAGUCACGGCUAACUACGUGCCAGCAGCCGCGGUAAU